GGGCGGAAGGCAUCACUUUGUCCGGACUCUAAUUCAAAUUGUAUUCAUCCGAUCUUCACCAAACUUGGUCAGCAGUUGCAUCUAGUUGAUAUCUAGGCCAAGUUCGAAUAUGGGUCAUGCCGGGUCAAAAACUAGGUCAUAGGGUCAAUAAGUGCAUUUUCAAAGGGGCCACUUUGUCCGGACUCUAUUUCAAAUUGUAUUCAUCCGAUCUUCACCAAACUUGGUCAGCAGUUGCAUCUAGUUGAUAUCUAGGCCAAGUUCGAAUAUGGGUCAUGCCGGGUCAAAAACUAGGUCAUAGGGUCAAUAAGUGCAUUUUCAAAGGGGCCACUUUGUCCGGACUCUAUUUCAAAUUGUAUUCAUCCGAUCUUCACCAAACUUGGUCAGCAGUUGCAUCUAGUUGAUAUCUAGGCCAAGUUCGAAUAUGGGUCAUGCCGGGUCAAAAACUAGGUCAUAGGGUCAAUAAGUGCAUUUUCAAAGGGGCCACUUUGUCCGGACUCUAUUUCAAAUUGUAUUCAUCCGAUCUUCACCAAACUUGGUCAGCAGUUGCAUCUAGUUGAUAUCUAGGCCAAGUUCGAAUAUGGGUCAUGCCGGGUCAAAAACUAGGUCAUAGGGUCAAUUAGUGCAUUUUCAACGGCGCCACUUUGUCCGGACUCUAAUUCAAAUUGUAUUCAUCCGAUCUUCACCAAAUUUGGUCAGAAGUUGUGUCUAGAUGAUAUGUAGGUCAAGUUCAAAUAUGGGUCAUGCCGGGUCAAAAACUAGGUCAC